UAUUUUUUUUCAUACCACAUAUAUUUUGUGGUAUGUCAUUUUAAUUCUUGUUUGGGAAUUAUUUUUUUAGAGGUUCCUUAAAGGUUAUAAUAUAUUAACUUAUAACAAGCCUACUUCUGAUUAAUAUUAAGUUCAAUAAAUUAUAUUCCAGAAAACUCCAAUAAAAUAUAAAAACUUCACUCUAAUAGAGAUCUGUUUCCUCCCUUUUGCUAUUGUGGUCAUAUAUAUUAUAUUUUUAUAUGUUAUAAUGCCACACUUUAAUAAUUAUUGAUCCUUGCAGUUAUGUUUUAAAUCCAUUAAGAAAUGAAACAUGAAAACAUGGAGUCUUUCCUAUUUGUUUAUGUAGCCAGCACUGUAACCCCAGCAUUCUAGGAGGGCUACAGAUGUAGCACUGUGAGCAGGCCUUAGGUUCAAUCCCUAGUACUGAAAAGAAAUUACCUUGUUUUUUAUUUCUUGUAAAUGUGAGUGAGUCAUCAUGUACUGGUAUCUCUUUUCAAAAGGAGGAUUUCCUUUAGUGAUUCUUGCAAGGUAGGUUGGCUAACAUAUUUGCAAUCAUUAUUUGUUUCAGAAUGUCACUUUUAAAAAGUGUACAGCUUGGUAGAUUUUCUUUUUUAUAAUUUUUAUUUUGAAUAGUACAUUUUUGUGGUACAUAAUGAUUACAUACUUCAUGGAGAGCUGGUACAUGAACAUAACAUGUCCUCAUUCUUUUUAUGUCCCCUCCUCCUUCCCUCCCUCCAGAAUGUUGUUAUUUUACUUUUGUUUUUGGAGUGUAGUACUGCUAGAUAUGGAAUUCUUGUUUGACAGAUUUUUUUUCUUGCAGAAGUUUGAAUGCCAUUCUCCUGCCUGAUUUCUGAUGAUAAAUAAGCAUUGAUCAUAUAUAUUGUGGUUCCCUUAAAUAUGUUUCACCAUGUAGUUCAGGCUGGUCUUGAAUUCACUAUGGAACCCAGGCUGGUCUCAAACUUAUGACAAUCCUCUUGCCUCAGCCUCUCUAGUGCUGGGAUUACAGGGCCCAAGAAGGAGAAAGGUAGCCACUUCUGAGUGGGCUCAGGCAGCUGAGAGGCCAUAAAGGAGUUCUGUGCAAUUGUAGAUAAUGACUACUUGAACUAUAAAGACAAGGAUGUUAGAAUGGAACUUGGAUAAGUGUCUACAUGCUGUGAUGAAGAACAAUGUUCCUACACAUUAUGGUUAAAAUAUUAUCAGUGUAACAGGAAUUGGGAUUAUUUAAAAAUAUGUAGGAUUUAUUUAAUCUGUGCUUUUGAAAUAACUGUAG